UUAGGGAAAAAUGGCGGCGGCUGCACCCAGUCAAGCUGCAUUUGAGUGGAUUUGCUUCCCUUCAUUGGUUUUAUGAAAUGUCAAGGUAAUAUGUGUGAUGUUUUAUUUAUUUUUAUAUGGAAUUUUGACAAUUGGAUACAAUAAUGAAAGGCGCAACAAAGAAGGAAUCGAUGUCACCUUGGAGCAACAUGGCGACGACUCGACUAGCAUCUCAGUGCUGAUGUCGACUGUUAGGAGAAAAAUCUUCCUAUGUCGGAAGAUUUCAACUUCACCUGCGUUAAUAAGACUGUAAACAUCCAUUUUCAGUGAGCAGUAUGGAGGUGUUGCUGUAUUUCUUGCUGGUCUCCGAGCCCAGAGUGACAAACCUGAGCAGGAACAGAGAGAGGCUG